GGAGAUUUAGCUCAGUGGAUUAAGCGCCUGCCUUACAAGCAGGCAGUUGUGAGUUCAAUCCCCA
rnacentral:tRNA from 1 species